AGAGGAGAGUCCUGGAACCCUCUGCCUUCCACCAGAACUGUGGGCCCCGAGCCAGAAUCCAGGGGUCAAAGUUAGUUUCCUUCCACGUUUCCCUUUCCUUAGUGGAAGGAAGGGGGAAAGGGAAAGAGUUGGUUUCAGAGACCCUCUUUUGAGAUUUGGAACGGGACUCUUUCCCUGAAAGGCCUCCCAGCCUUUCCCAGAGAAGUGGGACCUCAGCCACCCUUCCCUUGGAGGAAAGGGUUAAGGGUGGAUAGGGUGGAGAGGCUGGGGCCUGAGGAAACUCUGGGCUGGAGACCAAGCAGGAAGGAAAGGGUAACAACGCUGACUCCCCGCUUCCCUCUGCAGUCUGGGGAACGUCUGGGCCUGGCCGACAGCCCAGACCCUCCUGGAAGCCCCCCCAGGGGGUGGAGGGGCAGCCAGAGUUUUAGACUGGAGUUGUUUAUGAAAGCCCCUUUUAGCAAGUGUGAGUUAUGCUGUGAGGGGAGGGUUGGGAGUGAGGAUCUGGGUGGUAAUAUAACCUCUGAGGUAUCCUUCCACCCUUGACCCACAGGCCCUGGAUUGGUUUCUGUGGUCUGGGACUACCCUGGCCUGGGGGAGGGUAGGGGAUACCUUCUAACCCAGGCCCUGGAGGUGUUCUCUGCACAAAGAAUGCUUUCAACAGCCUGUGGCCUGCACAGAACCUGGCGCUGUGCCCUAUGGAGGCAGGGUCUACAUUUGGGGCUUGGAGGACCUUAUUUUUCAGACUAAAACCGAGAGCCAAAAGGGGACAAAGGGGAGUGAAUCUUAAAUCUGUGUGAUCUGAUUUAAAUCUUAAACACGUAGGCUGCGGGCCCACCUAUGUGAGGGUAUAGGCAAGGGACAAGGAGGGCCCUACAGCGAGGAAGGGGUCUACUGGGAGGAGGAGAGGGGCUCAGGCACUCCCCACCUGGACUAGACUCAGCCCAUCAACCCCUGCACAUGCCCCACAACAUUGUGCACAGUUUGGCAUUCAGAAAGGGAGAGGUGAUUGGUGUUAGCUCUGGCCACCUGGCUCCUUGGACUUCCCCCUCUAGAGAGUGUUGAAGCAGGAGACCCUCAGAGUGAGUCUCCACUGUCUCCACCCUUCCCACUUCUAACUAUGCUCUCAUUACCAAAAGAGCCUCUGCUUUAUUUUGAUUCAGUUUCUCCUCCUGAGCAAGGUGAGAGCCACACCCUAUGCUUUCCAUUCCUUUUCUGAAUGAAUGUUCAACUCAUGUUGUCCUCUUCCCACUGACUGUGGACUCCAAGCAGGGUGUCCAUGGUCAAGGAAAACCGCUGGGGUUUAAUUCUGUGUUCAAAGGGGCUGUGUGGAAGGCAGGAACCUAAUUCCUUCAAGCUUAGGAAUUAGGGCUUUCAUAAACAGGUGGGAAAAAACGUCAAUUUAUUUAAACUCUUGUGCCACUUUCCCUGAUACCAUAAAGACGGGGAUAAUACUACCCAUGGCCCAGGCUGUAAAUCAGAUCACACAGGCAAAGCACCAGGCACAUACCCACACCAAUAAGUAUUUGAUUCCCUUUCCUAGGUCUUGUCUCUUCAUCCCUACCUCAGUUUUGGCCCAAGUGUCACCACACCAUCCCAGAAAUCCACUCUUCUUUUCUUCACCCUUUCUGCUAACUCAUUCCCUACCUCCCACCUGUCCACCAGAUGCAGUAGAUUUGCCAAAGUUAUUUUUACCCAGCUUUGCCAGUAAUGAAUUGAGAACCCUUAAGCAGGUCACUAAAAAAGUCUUCCUCAACUAAGUUCAUUUAUUGGAUCAAGUUCAUUUAACCUAUUUAUUGAUUAUCUGCUAUGAGCCAGGCCCUGGGAAUAUACCACUGACUAAGAUGGAUAUCUGCUUGUCCUGUGGAAUGGGAAAAGAAAGAAAAAGGAAACAGUAGCAUUUCCGGGGUUGAUAAGUAUUAUUCUAUUAGAAGUAAAACAAGGAAUGUCUUGAUGGGGCCCCUCUGGCAAGGUGAUAUUUCAGCUGAGAGUGAGCAAGUAUGUGAGCAAUGAGAUGGCAAUAAGCAAAACUCUUAGCAAUUUUGAUGCAAGCCUUUCUUUGGCUCAGAUACAUUCAUUGAUGUAUCUAGUUGAUUCCUUACAGCAUGAGGCCAAGACUUGUUUGGGUGUGUUGGAGGCCUUCUGCAACCUGAGCCAAAUCUGUUUCCUCAACAUUGUCUAGGAGGGUCUGAGCUCACGUGUUAGUAGAAUUCGAUCUGGCUCAGCUUGUCUGGCAUUAGGGAGGACACCUUGCCAGGAGUUUGUUUGCAUGAAGAGUGAGAGGUCUCCAAGGAGAAAGCUCACCUUAUUACAGGAGAGGCCUGCACUGUGAGCUUGACAGAGUAACAGAGCCUAUCCCUCCAAAGCUCCAGAAGGAGAGGCAGCUCUAUCACUCAGAGACCUCGACCAGACCAAAAUCAAAAUACUCACAGAGCUACUGUGAGCAACUGGUGCGAUGGAUAAGCAUUCAGUCAAACAGACUAGAAAUCUAUAAAAUAAGAUCAGCUAUAUGUUUAAAUUUAUGUGUGGCAGAUAUAAUCUUUCAAUCAGUGGAGACAAGAUGUAUUUUCCAAUAAAUGACCUUGUGGUAAUGGGGCAGCCUUCUAGAUAAAAUAAAAUACUGGUAUCAAAACAAAUCCCUGGAGAAUCAAAUACUUCAAAUUAAAAAUGAACUGGGGGUGGUGAUGCAUGCCUAGAAUACCAGCUACUCUGGAGGCUGAGGCAGGAGGAUCACCAGUUCAAGCCCAGCCUGAGCAACUUCCUGAGCUCCUAUCCCCAAAAAAUACAAAAAUAGAAAGGACUGGGUGUGUAAUUCAGCACACUCUAGACUCAAUUCCCAGUACUGCAAAAAAGAAAGGAAAAAUUAAAAAUAAAUCAUAAAAGUACUACAAUAAGCCAUGAACUUUUGUACAGAUUUUCCUUGCCUUACAAGCAUCACAUUCAAUAAGCCCAUCAUAAGUUGAAAAUAUCUGGUUCCAUUGCUAUUCUCCUUCUUGGUAUCAUCCCGAAAGAAUUAAAAGCAUCAUACCACUGUGAUAUAUGCACACCCAUGUUUACAGCGGCACAGUUUGGAAUAGCUGAAUCUUGGAAACAGCUCAAAUGCCCAUCAACUGAUGAAUGGAUAAAGAAGAUGUGCAGUUUAAUUUUUAUACAAUGGAGUACUACUCUGAAAUAAAGAAGGAUAAACAUGAGACAUUUCUAGACUAACCCAACAGGAAGAUGGAUGAAGGCUGUGAUGGAUUAACUAAUGGUCUGUUUAAGUGGGAACGCCCAGCUGAACUGAGUCAGCAUGGUUCUGGGCAUUGAAGACCCACCUGAGGAUUGUUCCCAAUGGCAUGAAAGGAGAACUGGAAGGGAAGAUUGUAUGCUGCUGAUUUUCCUGAAGAAGCUUGCCAUAGCUGGUUUCCCUGAUAAGAACUCAGCUGUUCUUGUUAGAGGAGCUCAGGUCUUUGCUUCUUCUCUUCAAGGGAGCUCUGAUCUUUGCCUCGAGCCUCGCUUCCUGGCUCCAGUGCAGAUCCUUCACGCUGCCAGUGCAGACUUUCUAGCUUCCACCACCGGCCUUUGGACCUUCCGGUGCAGGUCCUUGAUACAGACUUGCAUGAGACUGCUGCGGGCUCAGGGCCUCCAGAGGGACUUGUGGAGGACAUUACAGGAUCCAGGCCCUCUGCUGGAUUCUUCAGGUCUCUAGCAUGUGGACAGAUCUCUUGCGCUCUUCUGCAUUUGACUUUUUGGGUAAAUAUUAUAAAAUAAUCCUAUAAAUUAUGUGUCCUGUAUUAAAUCUAUUCCGUUGCAAACCCUGACAUCAUCAAAAGAUAUUAAUAGUCCACAAAGAAGGAAAUAUAUACGGUUCUUAAAAUAUGGAAGAUGCUCCACUUCACCCUUAACAACAGAAAUGAA
rnacentral:lncRNA from 1 species